AUGAUCCUUUACUACUGGGGCCACUGUAGCAGCAGGAGCACUGGCUUCUUUCUUUGAUUCUUCCAGUUUCUCUAGGUUCUUCUUGUGCUUCUUUCCCAAUUUGUGUUGGUCCAAGACAUCCUUGCUGCUACAGUCAA